rnacentral:rRNA from 1 species
AGCGGCGGACGGGUGAGUAACGCGUGGGUAACCUGCCCUGUACACACGGAUAACAUACCGAAAGGUAUGCUAAUACGAGGUAAUAUACUUUUACCGCAUGGUAGAAGUAUCAAAGCUUUUGCGGUACAGGAUGGACCCGCGUCUGAUUAGCUAGUUGGUAAGGUAACGGCUUACCAAGGCGACGAUCAGUAGCCGACCUGAGAGGGUGAUCGGCCACAUUGGAACUGAGACACGGUCCAAACUCCUACGGGAGGCAGCAGUGGGGAAUAUUGCACAAUGGGCGAAAGCCUGAUGCAGCAACGCCGCGUGAGCGAUGAAGGCCUUCGGGUCGUAAAGCUCUGUCCUCAAGGAAGAUAAUGACGGUACUUGAGGAGGAAGCCCCGGCUAACUACGUGCCAGCAGCCGCGGUAAUACGUAGGGGGCUAGCGUUAUCCGGAAUUACUGGGCGUAAAGGGUGCGUAGGUGGUUUCUUAAGUCAGAGGUGAAAGGCUACGGCUCAACCGCAGUAAGCCUUUGAAACUGGGAAACUUGAGUGCAGGAGAGGAGAGUGGAAUUCCUAGUGUAGUGGUGAAAUGCGUAGAUAUUAGGAGGAACACCAGUUGCGAAGGCGGCUCUCUGGACUGUAACUGACACUGAGGCACGAAAGCAUGGGGAGCAAACAGGAUUAGAUACCCUGGUAGUCCACGCCGUAAACGAUGAGUACUAGCUGU